UCAUCAUCAGCAGCAGCCGCGUUCUCGACGACGAAGUACGCGUGCGCCACGCGCCAAUCGCUGACGCCUUGUGUUCGACCAGUACCCUUCGAAGAACAGUCAUGGGCGUCUCCCAAAGGACACUCGCAGCGACCUUGUGGUUUUUCUGCUUGGUGAGCGCCGUCUCUGGGGGCAUCGACAAGAGGAAUGGCGGCUAUACCAAUAUUUUGGUAUCAAUCGCGCAGGAUGUCGCACCGGACGAAAACAUUAUCCGCAACCUAAAGGUCGUCCUGGAAUCAGCAUCGCGGUUCCUACACAGAGCAACAAAUGGAAGAGUCUACUUCAAGUCAUUCGUCAUUGAGGUUCCAAAAUUUUGGCCAAAAAGAAGAGGUGCACAGGUCCUAGGGGCAACGCAGUUCCUAAAAAGUGAUGUUCGAAUCGUGAGUUCCAAGAGCUGCGAUUUACAAUCACCUUGCACGGUGACGUCGAGCGGCUGCGGAGGAAAAGGAGACUACAUUUUUAUUCCAUCGCAAUAUCUCCGACGCCUGCCGCCCUUCACGGCUGAAACAAAUGAAAGUGCUGCCUAUACUUUCGUGCACGAGUGGGCACAUCUACGUUACGGUGUCUUCGACGAAUACGGUACCAGGGGAGACGAUUCCUUUCCAGAGACCUACUGCGUCGAUGACAAGGUGGAGCUGAGUUCAUGUUCAGAAAAUAUGCCUUUUACCGCCAACCUAAAGAAUGGCUCAUUUUGCCCGACUGAUGAAGAAUGCCACUUCGGAGAAGACUGCAUAGUCACGCCUCAUAAUGGCCCUAAAACCCUUACAGAAAGCUCCAUUAUGUUCAUGCCUUACGUGAAAAACAUUUCCUAUUUUUGUGAAUCAACAAGUCGAAAUCGACGUCUGCACAACAGUGCUGCAACGACAAAGCAGAACAUCAUGUGCAGUGGUUCGUCUGUCCUCGACGUCAUCUUAAGGAGCGACGACUUUGAAUGGUUAGCAGAGCCCAAACCGCACAAGCGCAUUCGCGUCACCUUCAAGGAAUGGCAAGAAAGGACAGACAGACCUCAAAAAAUUGUUCUGGUUUUGGAUGUGUCGGGUAGUAUGCAGGGGUCGAAUCGAAUUAAUUUCUUGAAAGAGGCUGCCACGCACUACAUAAGAGCUAUACCGGAUGGCUUGAGGAGACUGGCUAUUGUAUUAUUCGCCGCAAGAGCCAGAGUUGCCUUCCCUAUGACCGUCGUCAAUUCGAGCACUCGGCGACACUUCCUUAAACAAGUGGAUGAUCUAAGUCCUGAUGAUACAACUUGUAUUGGUUGUGGACUUGAACUGGCACUGAAGGUGCUCACUGCACCGUCUGAUCCUCCACAUGGCUCCAGCAUUCUCCUGAUAACCGACGGCCGAGAGAACACGGCGCCUUAUGUGGCGAGCGUCAUGCCAAACAUCGUGAAGUCCCUCAUCGAAGUGAACUCAUUUGCGAUUGGAAGAGAAGCUGACGAAAAACUUGAAGUUUUGGCAGCUGCAACGAAGGGUCAAUCCUUCUGUUUCCGAGACAACCAACCAUUCAAUGGCGUAAACAUAGGCGCGGCGUUUGUGACAGCCAGUGCAUCCGAAGUGGAACCACAAUGGCCCGUUACGGUUUUGCAAGUUGAAAAAGACUUCACCAGGGAGAUGAAGCAGAAUUUCAUCAUUCAUGAAAGUUUCGCAAAGAACACAAUCAUCUCCAUUAGAUUUGAUCCUUCAGACCGAAAACAGCCGAAAGUAGAGCUUACGGACCCUAGUGGACAGAAAUGCGCUGUUUGUAAGGCUGUCAGCUACGGUGACACAGUGAGGAUAGCACUACCACAGCCCGUAAAGACGGGUACUUGGACCCUUCAGCUAAAGAGCGACUUAAACGAAGAUAUGAAGUCCAGCGUGAGGGUGUUGUCACAAAUUUCUGACAAUACGGAACCCAUCAGAAGCAGGGCCCGAAUGAUAAACGUGUUCGUCAGAUACCCCUCCCGGUCUGCCGUCAUUGUCGACGUCACUAAAGGAGAGAAGAUCGUCUUGAAUGCAAGUGUUAUUGCCAAGAUAACUGACUGGCGUGGAGGAACCACUACUCUAAGACUUCGUGACAAUGGCCAAGACCCAGACGUGUACGCAGAUGACGGGAAGUACUCUGAGUACUUCGUCGACUUUAUUGGAAGUGGAAGGUACUACUUGCGGGCAUACGUGAUUGGUCACAACGUUAACGCAUCCUGCAGGACGGCAUGUUCUGCCAGCUCCAAUAAGCCCCUCAUGAUGAAGCAGAAUACCCCCGGGCCCUGCAAGCUGCCCCAUAAGUACCCCAAAGAGUGUUGCGAACUGAGCAGCAAGUAUCCCAAAAAGUGCUUCCCUUCCUACAACGGCACCUUCAAGCACAAACCCCAGCGGCUAGGAGAAGAGAAAAUCAACGGCACUUGGGAAAUUGUUGUCGAUGGAGGAACUUUGGAUGUUACCCACAAGCUCAACAAAAGCGUGUAUCCGCCACUGAAACCUUGGAACUUCCGAGUCUGUUGUGCGACAUCAGGAAAAAAUGGGUCUCUUCUCCUUCAGAUGAGCUGGAAUUGGGCGGGUGCACACCUGAACUCUGGAAAAGCGUCAUCAAUCGAUAUCCGGGUGAGUAAGACGUCCGCAAGUCUCAAGAAAAACUUCGAGUCACAAGAGGAGAUUGAUUCAACCCAUUUGGUCAAGGGUACCUUAGAACCUGGUGAAGCUCACACGCUCAACAAAGUUACCAUAUCUCUUUCCCGUGACUGGGCAGAAGUUACAGAAGAAUAUACAAGAUGGCGAGUUAAGUUUGCUGCUAGAACGAUGAACUCCCGUAACGUGACUUCCGAGCUGUCAGAUGUAGCAGACUUGGACUACUUCGACAGGAAAAAGUACACAUCCGAAAAUGACAUUGAAGACUCUGACGAAAAGGCGCCAACAAAGGAGCCCCCGAGAUACACGGAAGCUGACAAAGGCAAUGAAGAAUCUACAGGCGGAAACAACGCCGAAGACAGCAAUGAUGGCACAUCCACAUCUGUAUUGCCUUUGGUUCUGGCUCUUAUUGUGGCAGUGGUGGUGAUCCUUGCUGCCGCAAUAUGGGCGCUUAGAAUGAUCAUGGAUAAACGCGAAGACGUGGUGCAAAAAGAGGCUUCUUUUGAAUUGACCGCCGCCACAAGUGUGCCAUUGCAGUAGAGUUGAGGACUUUGGAAGUUAAUGAACUUCACUCAAGACGAGACGUCAGCGGGCACGAGCCAGGCUUGCAGGCAAAGCAACCACCCAACAAACUGCUCCUGAGGCCGCUUUUACGAAAAGUCAUGGCCGGGACCAUGGGUGCAUCCGCAGCAAUAUUUUUGUUAUUCUAAUUCUCGACUGUCGUCUCUGGAGCCAUCGACAAAAGUGACGGCGGUUGCAGUGACGUCUUGGUAUGCAUCCACCCGGAUGUUACACCCAACGAAGACAUCGUCCGUAAUCUAAAACGAUGCGCGCAGCUGCAGCUUUCUUCAAAAGUUAUUCGAAAAAGCAAACAUGAGUACAGCAAGGCGACAAAAAAAAACGGCAGCUGGGGACCAAAGUGCGCAUUCAUUGUGAAAGUGGCGAAGACCCGAAAGAAAUGUGAAAACCAAGGACAUCUUCGUGACUCUGCAAAGAGCGCGUUACAGAACGCAAGCAUUCGAUGACUCAUAAACUAAAAGCUGUACAACGACGCUUGGCGGAAGUGUGCAGUGGGGAAUGCGACGAGCAACCCGGCAGGGAAACGGGAGGCUAAGGGGAAAGGGAUGUAGAUGUUUCGUUUGCAGGUGCCAACAAGUAUUUCGGCAGGUGCUGCUUACGAAACUGGUUUGCUUCGAUAUGAAAGACUUUAGAUAUUUCAUUUGAACAACUUACUUCACGGGCCGUGCAGGGGUUAUAGGAAAGAGUGGAUGAUAACAAAAAAGAAAGAUAGAAACAGUAAGAACAAUAACAGUAAAUUGUUUAUUACAGGUUAUGACAAAGUGUGGACAUGAACAUUGUUGAAUGUUGUAUACAGAAGCCGG